rnacentral:tRNA from 1 species
AGGAUAGUAGUUAAUUAUAACAUUUGAAUUGCACUCAAAAAGUAUUGAACUUACUUA